CAUUCCUCGAAGUACUGCGAUACCAGGUCGAUGCAUGGAGUGGACAGAGCAAGCUCCUAUUCCAUCUCCUAAUUCCAAAAAUCCAUUUAAUAUAUUUGGCUCAUAAAAUUUUUAAA